AGUGAACGCUGGCGGUAGGCCUAACACAUGCAAGUCGAACGGCAGCACAGUAAGAGCUUGCUCUUACGGGUGGCGAGUGGCGGACGGGUGAGGAAUACAUCGGAAUCUACUUUUUCGUGGGGGAUAACGUAGGGAAACUUACGCUAAUACCGCAUACGACCUACGGGUGAAAGCAGGGGAUCUUCGGACCUUGCGCGAUUGAAUGAGCCGAUGUCGGAUUAGCUAGUUGGCGGGGUAAAGGCCCACCAAGGCGACGAUCCGUAGCUGGUCUGAGAGGAUGAUCAGCCACACUGGAACUGAGACACGGUCCAGACUCCUACGGGAGGGAGCAGUGGGGAAUAUUGGACCAUGGGCGCAAGCCUGAUCCAGCCAUACCGCGUGGGUGAAGAAGGCCUUCGGGUUGUAAAGCCCUUUUGUUGGGAAAGAAAAGCAGCAGGGUAAUACCCCGCCGUUCUGACGGUACCCAAAGAAUAAGCAACGGCUAACUUCGUG
rnacentral:rRNA from 1 species